AUUGAACGCUGGCGGCAGGCCUAACACAUGCAAGUCGAACGGUAACAGGAAACAGCUUGCUGUUUCGCUGACGAGUGGCGGACGGGUGAGUAAUGUCUGGGAAACUGCCUGAUGGAGGGGGAUAACUACUGGAAACGGUAGCUAAUACCGCAUAACGUCGCAAGACCAAAGAGGGGGACCUUCGGGCCUCUUGCCAUCGGAUGUGCCCAGAUGGGAUUAGCUAGUAGGUGGGGUAACGGCUCACCGAGGCGACGAUCCCUAGCUGGUCUGAGCGGAUGACCAGCCACACUGGAACUGAGACACGGUCCAGACUCCUACGGGAGGCAGCAGUGGGGAAUAUUGCACAAAGGGCGCAAGCCUGAUGCAGCCAUGCCGCGUGUAUGAAGAAGGCCUUCGGGUUGUAAAGUACUUUCAGCGGGGAGGAAGGGAGUAAAGUUAAUACCUUUGCUCAUUGACGUUACCCGCAGAAGAAGCACCGGCUAACUCCGUG
rnacentral:rRNA from 1 species